UACGUAGGGGGCAAGCGUUGUCCGGAAUCAUUAGGCGUAAAGAGCGUGUAGGCGGCUUUACAGGUCCGUUGUGAAAACUCGAGGCUCAACCUCGAGACGCCGGUGGAAACCGUAAGGCUAGAGUCCGGAAGAGGAGAGUGGAAUUCCUGGUGUAGCGGUGAAAUGCGCAGAUAUCAGGAGGAACACCCGUGGCGAAAGCGGCUCUCUGGGACGGUACUGACGCUGAGACGCGAAAGCGUGGGGAGCAAACAGG
rnacentral:rRNA from 1 species